UACGUAGGGUGCAAGCGUUGUCCGGAAUUAUUGGGCGUAAAGAGCUCGUAGGCGGCUCGUCACGUCGGCUGUGAAAACCCGGGGCUCAACCCCGGGCCUGCAGUCGAUACGGGCGUGCUAGAGUUCGGCAGGGGAGACUGGAAUUCCUGGUGUAGCGGUGAAAUGCGCAGAUAUCAGGAGGAACACCGGUGGCGAAGGCGGGUCUCUGGGCCGAUACUGACGCUGAGGAGCGAAAGCGUGGGGAGCGAACAGG
rnacentral:rRNA from 1 species